GGACCAAGGAGUUUAGCGUGUGCGCGAGUCAUUGGGUGAAAAACCUAAAGGCGGAAUGAAAGUGAAGGAAACUCUGCUUUCUGAGGGAAGAUGGGUUACCUGCCUUCACAGGCGGUGCCCCGCACUCCCGGGGCGUUUCUCUUCUCAUCACGAGUGGAGGCGCACCUAUAGCGUACACGCUGAUACCCGAAAGAUGGUGAACUAUGCCUGGCCAGGACGAAGCCAGGGGAAACCCUGGUGGAGGUCCGCAGCGAUUCUGACGUGCAAAUCGAUCGUCGGAGCUUGGUAUAGGGGCGAAAGACCAAUCGAACCAUCUAGUAGCUGGUUCCCUCUGAAGUUUCCCUCAGGAUAGCUUGCGCUCGGUUGAGACGAGUCUCAUCCGGUAGAGCGAAUGAUUAGAGGCCUUGGGGUCGAAACGACCUCAACCUAUUCUCAAACUCCAAAUAGAUGAGAUCCCCGGCUUGCUUGAAAGUGAAGCCGGGACUCGGAUCAGAGUGCCAAGUGGGCCAAUUUUGGUAAGCAGAACUGGCGCUGUGGGAUGAACCAAACGCAGAGUUAAGGCGCCUGAAUCGACGCUCAUGUGAAACCAUGAAAGGCGUUGGUUGCUUAAGACAGCAGGACGGUGGCCAUGGAAGUCGGAA
rnacentral:rRNA from 2 species